AUUGAACGCUGGCGGCAGGCCUAACACAUGCAAGUCGAACGAGUUGCGGACGGGUGAGUAAUGUCUGGGAAACUGCCUGAUGGAGGGGGCUAACUACUGGAAACGGUAGCUAAUACCGCAUACCCUCGGAUGUGCCCAGAUGGGAUUAGCUAGUAGGGGGGGUAAAGGCUCACCUAGGCGACGAUCCCUAGCUGGUCUGAGAGGAUGACAAGCCACAUGGGAACUGAGACACGGUCCAGACUCCUACGGGAGGCAGCAGUGGGGAAUAUUGCACAAUGGGCGAAAGCCUGAUGCAGCAAGGCCGCGUGGAUGAAGAAGGCCUUCGGGUCGUAAAGUACUUUCAGCGGGGAGGCGUUACCCGCAGAAGAAGCAACGGCUAACUCCGUGCCAGCAGCCGCGGUAAUAC
rnacentral:rRNA from 1 species